UGACUCCACAACCUAGAGACUCACUUUCAAGGAAUUCUACAAAUCAUGCUCUCAGUAUUAAUUUUUUAAUUGCACUAGUUGUCUUCUUUAGUACAUUGUCAGUCUUUAUUUAUGAAUAGUUUCUCAUCAAUUGUAUUGUAUUUCUUUAUUUUUCUGUAAAUUCGGACUGGCUGUAUGGCCUGGUGUUUCGAUAUCGCCAGGAGCAGCCUGGAAGACGUGCACCUUUGGGGACCGGCCCUGUGGAUGGCCUGAUUCCUCGCUGAUUUCAUCAGCUGAAGAGUCAUGGGUGACUGAAACAACGGGACAGCAGGUGGUGUGUGUUGCUGUCGGAGGAAGGCCCCCGUACAUGAGCGACCACUCUCUCUCUCUUUUGGUGAGCAUAGACGUGGAACACAGGGAGAGGCCCUUCAGCCAAACAAAUUACAUGAGAAAUCAGAUGAUGGAUAGGAUGCUUUUUGUGGUACAUCGGUGAAAGUUUGUAAGGACCCUCCAAGAGUAUGCUCCAGUUGGAUUUGAAUUGCUUCAUUAUUGUCACACAUUCUGAGUUUUGCUACCCUUACUAAUCAAGACCCUGUUGACCACCGCUUUAAAUAUACCCAGUGGCUUGGACUCCGCAACCAUCUGUGGCAAUGAAUUUCACAGAUUCACCUUCUGCUGGCUAAAACAGAAAUUCCUUCAGCCAGAGAGCAUAGACGUGGAACACAGGGACAGGCCCUUCAACCAAACAAAUUACAUGAGAAAUCAGAUGAUGGAUAGGAUGCUUUGUGUGGUACAUCGGUGAAAGUUUGUAAGGACCCUCCAAGAGUAUGCUCCAGUUGGAUUUGAAUUGCUUCAUUAUUGUCACACAUUCUGAGAGCAUAGACGUGGAACACAGGGACAGGCCCUUCAACCAAACAAAUUACAUGAGAAAUCAGAUGAUGGAUAGGAUGCUUUGUGUGGUACAUCGGUGAAAGUUUGUAAGGACCCUCCAAGAGUAUGCUCCAGUUGGAUUUGAAUUACUUCAUUAUUGUCACACAUUCUGAGCAGUGUGACAGCACCUUCAUCUAACAGACUGCAGCACAUCAAGGAAGUGAUUCGACUCCACUGACUCAGUGGCAAUUGGGGACUGGCACAGCUGCCACAUGUGGAAGGGUAGCAUCACACUCGAUCGUGCCAGUGAUCAGAGACUGGGUUCAACUCUCACCACUGUCUGUAAGUAAUUUGGACAUUCUCCCCAUAACUGCGUGGUUUCCUCCGGGUGCUCCGGGUUCCUCCCACAUUCCAAAGAUGUUAACGGUUAGGGUUAGUAAGUUAUGUUGGCACUGGAAGUAUUAUAACACUUGCUGGCUGCCCCCACUGCAUACUCAAUUGUUGGUGCAAGUGAGGCAUUUCACUGUACUUUUCGGUAUUUUGAUAUACAUGCAACAAAUAAUUUUUAUCUUACCUUUAAGUUAAUAUGAAUUGGCUGCAACAGUACGAUGGUGAGAAUCAUCUCAGCCUAUGUAAUCUCUGCCUCUCCAUAAUUAGGCCUGUACUGAGGGAUGGGUAUGCAGCCUCUAUACCUUUAGCUCACACCUUGGGUAGCCUUGAUCUCCCUGGUGCAUGAUUUGCGAAUGGAAUGAGAGCAAGCACACAGAUUGACUCCUUAUAGUGCUUGCAAUGAUAUUGUUUAGCCAGUGGAUGGCAGGUUGGUUCUUAGGAAUGUACUAUGGAACAGAACAUUAAGUUCAGUACAGGCUCUUCAGCCUACAAUGUUGUGCCAACCUUUAACUCACUCAAAGAUCAAUCAAUCUAACCUCCACCCUCCGACAUAACCCUCCACUUUUCUAUGAUCCAUGUGCUGAUCUAAGUGUCUCUUAAAUGCCCCUAAUGCAUUUGCUUCUACUACCAUCCCUGGCAGAGUUUGAUGCUCCUAUCCCUCAGUGCAAAAAACAUACCUCUGACAUGACACCCCAUGCCUUUCUCCAAACAUCUUAAAAUUGGCCUUAAUAAUAGUUUUUUUGUUCUGGUCUAUUGUUGCUAUUGGACCAGAAGAUACUGAUCUUCAGUUGAGUAUGCAGGUCUAACCAUCCCACAGAGCUGUGAAAAUUAUGUGCAGUAGUGGGGAAGGGUGAGUGUGAGAGACAGUCAGGUCCACUGUUAGCCGCUCGGCAGGGAGCAUUAAACCACUUGGAAGACAGAAUCAUAGAGUCAUACAGCACAGUGUCAAACUAAGCUAGUCCCAUUUGCCCACCUAGGGUCCAUCGUUCUUUUGACCAUUAUGUAUCAUCAAAUGAUAUAGAUGAUCAUGGUCUUUCCAUGACCAUGAUUGUUCUCGGCAUAUUUUUCUACCAAAGUGGUUUGCCAUUGCCUUCUGGGCAGUGUCUUUCCAAGGUCAGGUCACUCAUCUGAGUGCUACUGGUACCAUGUAACCCAGUACUACCUGUCGCAUGGUCGGGUGGUCGGCGAUUAAACCGGCUCCCCCACCAGGCUUGCCUGGUGAGGAGGGUGGCUAGACACCCUGCAGGACGAAAAACAAGACCUGUCAAGGGCGGAUGAACCCUCUCGUAGGGUCAAUGGCCAUCUAGCAAACACGUGCCGUGAAGCGCGGAAAGGGCAUCCCUUGCAUCGAAGCUUGGUCUGGCCAUUCACUGCAACAGAACUUCCCCCAGCCGUCUUGGACCCCAUCAUGCCGCUGGAUCUGGGAGGGGAUGUCGAGAGGGUGGGUCUGGACCUGUGCAACCCCCUACUCACCUAAAAUCCACUCACGCACAUGCUGUUCCUUUCUGAGGAGUGGGGUCAACCCCACUAAAUGACUGAAAGGAACCAUCAUCAUCCUAUGAGAUGGAUAGCCAGAGAGAGAGUCUUUCCAAGAUGGGUGACCAGGCAUUAUCAAUACUCUUCAGAGAUUGUCUGCCUGGCGUCAGUUGUUGCAUAACCAGGACUUGUGAUAUGCACCAUCUGCUCAUACAACCAUCCACCACCUGCUCCCAUGGCUUCAAGUGACCCUGAUUGGAGGGGUGGUGGGGGAGCUAAGCAGAUGUUACACUUUGCUGAAGGGUGACCUGCAGGCUAGCAGAGGGAAAGAGUGCCUCACACCUCCUUUGAUGGAGUCGCAUCUCCUCCCCUCCAUCCACUGAGGUCAUAUUUGUCUCUGAACCCUUCCUAACCGUCUACAUUAUAUUGGUAAUGUGUCGAAGCUGAGUAUCGAGGAACGAGGAUUACAUCAGAAGUCUGGACUCUUGACGGCCGGAGAUGAGUGUUUGAAUCUGUGGGUGUGCUGUGGAAAUCAAAGCCCAAUGCUGGGAGUCCAACUCCACUGGAGGCUGGAGACCUCUCCUGGGUUUGGAGGACUGGGUAUGUGUGUGAGUGAGAAGGAGAAAUGGGGCUGUUGUUGUUUUGUUGUUUGUUGUGCUCUGUGUUCUACCAGGCAUUGUGGGCAUAUUGUUUUGGCACUGGAAUCUGUAGCAACACUUAGCCCACAUUUUUGGUUCUUAAUGCAAAAUGUGCAUUUCUCUGUAUGUUUCAAUGUACAUGUGAUAAAUAAAAUUAAAUCUUGAAUCUAUCCAAAUGUCUUUUAGAAGUUGUUACUUUUCCCACCUCAACUACUCUUUUCAGCAGUUUGUUCCCUCUGCUUGAAGGAGUUGCCCCUCAGGUCCUUUAUAAACCGUACCCCUCUCACCUUGAAACCACGCCCCCCGGAUUUUAGUUCCACUUGGCUUGGAACGUGAUUGUGCCUGUUCACCUUAUCUUUCUCCCUCAUGAUUUUAUACACCUCUAUACUGUCGUCCAUCAGAGUCUCUACACUCCAAGGGAAUAAAGUCACAGCCUGCCCAACUACCUCCUGUAACCGAGGCUCUUCA